AGGGAGUGAAGAUAAUAUUUGGAGGCAGUGUUAUGUCCCCCAAUGUAAGCGAAUUCCGAUGAACUCCGAAUAAAGUAAUCGCCGGUGGUAAAGUGUUCGGAUGAAUAUGACCCGCACCCUUAACUUUCAGAGUUUCAGAUUAAAGCAAGGGAACACCGAUGUCCGUGGAAAUCUUGAAAAUCAGCGAUUCAACGGCUGACCAGAUAACUUUUAGCGAGGAUGAAUGGACCAAAGGAGCGUCUUGGAACGUCGCGUGUUUUUCUGUAAAUUUAGCCGUCUAUCUGUAUAAAGGCUAUCGGCACAGUGAAAAAGAAAAAAAAAAAAAAAAAGCAAAAAAAAAGCAUUAUAAGCUGGCAGGGACUGAUGUUUCGAGGGUUGACCGCAUAUUUGUUAGUCUUUUGUACUUUUGUAAUGAAAUUUCAUAAAUUAAAACACCCUCAAAAAGCAAAUUGACGUAAAAAACGUAUGCAAUAUCUUGAAUGUUCACGUUUGAAAUGCAUGGGGACUAACCAAUUCUAUCGCAUAGGUCAGCUUAAGUAAGAUGAUGUGAAGAAAGUUAGUGUUUCAAACACUCGCAAUUAGGGUCAAAUGGAUAGAUAGUUCACUAGCAAACAAAAUAAAUAGAGAGUGAUAACUUCUCAAACAAAAAAA